UCUCUUCACAAUGUGGUGUUCACGUAUCGUCGGAAGAACGAGCUCUGAACUGUGAGGGUGUGUCGAGCUAGAGAGCAUGGUAGCUGAUGGCAGAAACUCUUUGAUUAGCGCCCUUGGAGAAGCGGAAUGAGUUUUCACGGUGUUCAUGGUGCAUGGUGCUCGUUGAGAGGAAGAAAUAAAUUGACACCCGUUUGAAACUCUCUGCGUCUUGAUCAAUAUAUCCGAGGGGCCGCUACAGUGAAAACUCAUCGCUGCACCAGCCCUGCCAUCCCUGGUGAGAAGCUGAUGCCAUCACAUCUGAAGUCCAACCACCAACCUAAUACCGGCCAGUUUACUUCGCUUGCAUCCAACUCCUGCACACAGGCAAGACUUAAAAUGGACAGCAUGCUUAAGGUACAGCUAGAGCUGCAAAAAGAGACACUGGGUGCCAAGGAGCAAAAAAGCUGAAAAGGGACAAUCUUUUACACACGCUUGCAGCAUAACUGAAGUGACUCAAAUAAUAAUAUGGUAUUAUAAGGUCAAAAUAUCUUGCAAGCUAAUUCUCAGUUCCUAACGCUUCUAAAACUGGUGACUAUUUCAAGAAACUAGCCCAUGCGCUUGGGUCAUGUCUGUUUAUGAAAAGGUUAAAAGGGUUGUUUUGUUGUUACUGUUUUAAGCUAAAAAUCCUUUUAGAUGUCCAUAAUCUGUUAAUGCGUGGCAUAAAUAUUACUCUGUGGUAAAGGAUAACUACAGCUUAUAAAUGUAAAUUCAGGCGUUGGACAAUCGAAGGCUACACUCGACUUAAAGCAGCAGCACAAACAAACAAGAUGUCACUUAAAGACAACCCAUGCAGGUCCAGCUCACGUGAAAGAAAGCUAACAGAGAAAGGCCAAGAGAUGCAUGACCAAGACACCAGAAAACGUGAGAAAGCAUUUAACAAGACCUAUGACGCUUGGAAGCUGGUAGCAAGGGAGACUAGGACAAAAUUAAAAACCCUCUGUUCAUCAGAAGACCUUAUUGAAUUACAGCAAGACAUUCAAGCAAAGCAUGAUGGCGUGUGCCAGCAGUAUGAACCUUUACUUCGUAACAGUAACACCACACCAGAGAUUGUAAAGAAGAUGGAUGCCUGUGUUACGCUAACAAAAGACAUUCGUGACCUUAUUAGUAACCGUCUAGAGACUAUUAAUCAAGAUUAUAAUGAUCAACUUGAGAAGGAAAGGGUAAGAGAAACAUUAAACAAAGAUGAAUAUGGGUCUGUCUUUGGCCACACUAAAACUGAAACGGUAAGCUCAGCGGAGUCACCGGAGAGAUUGAGCAACCACUCCAGCUCAACCAGUACCCACAGCAGUAGAGUAGAUGCACAAGCAGAGCUUGCGGCUAAGCUGGAACAAUCAAAAGCCAUGAAAGAAAUCCAAGCACAGCAAGCACAUCUUCACAAGUUAGAAGGUGAAUGGAAACUUAAAGAGGCAAAAAUGUUAGUAGAAAUGAAACAAAAAGAGUUGGAAAUGGAACAACAGUUGGAACAAGAGAGAACCAAAUUGCAGCAGUUACAAGCAGCAAAAGACGUUGCCAUAGCAGCAGCUCGUGUGAGAGCAUAUGACAAUUUUGAAGGGUUUGAGAACCAUGAUGAGGAGAUUAAUGACCAAACUAACUCUGCUUGCUACAGAAAGCAAAAUGAACCUCGAUUAAAUCCUGAUGCUGCAUCAUUCCAUCCACACCAAGCUGCUCCUGAGGUGACAAUGACCCAGGAGUCUGUCAGUCUAGCCCAGGUAAUCGCCAGCUCAUUAAGCAUGAACCGCUUGCCGGUCCCUGAACCAACCACGUUCCGUGGUGACCCUUUACAGUUUACAGAUUGGAGGAUGACAUUCAUAGCUCUUAUUGAUAGAAAACCCCUCCCACCAAGUGAGAAGAUGUUUUAUCUAAAAAAUUAUCUUGCUGGAGAGGCGCGCAAAGCGGUAGAAGGUUUCUUUUAUCGAGAUUCAGAAAGUGCAUACAAUGGAG
ensembl:lncRNA